CUAGUCUGACCUUUGGCGUCCGUUCGCUGAGGGGCUCAUAAACAUUUCAUAUAACUAUGAGUCAAGAAUGUCACAUAAGUAUGAGUUCUAAGAACUCGUACUUAAUCCUAUAUUCUCUACCUAUGACCUAUUUAUCUGUAUAUAACAACUAGCGUGACACAACAUUUCAAUUAUUACCAAUGCCACCAACUAAGUAGUUUUUACACCAAGUACGAUUCCCCGCCCAUACAAGAAAUCAUACAACUCAGUUGCCAACACGAGUCCUCAUUGAAAUCCCCACCUAAUACUUAACCCCCUUCUCAAUACGAAUUUCAUUUAAUCCGUAUUCAUAAUCCUUUUCUGAAUCUGUACCAUUCACACAGCAAUCAUGCUUUAAACUUUUCAAUCAUCAGAUUGAUUCUUUCUGGCUGUCAUAACCUUAAC
rnacentral:lncRNA from 1 species